CCUACGGGAGGCAGCAGCUAGGAAUCUUUCACAAUGGGCGAAAGCCUGAUGGAGCAACGCCGCGUGGGGGAUGAAGGUCUUCGGAUUGUAAACCCCUGUCACCAAGGAUAAACCGUAACUGGCUAAUACCCAGUUGCCUGAUGUAACUUGGAGAGGAAGAGGUGGCUAACUCUGUGCCAGCAGCCGCGGUAAUACAGAGACCUCAAGCGUUAUUCGGAUUUACUGGGCGUAAAGGGUGCGCAGGCGGCCAAGUGUGUCGGAGGUGAAAUCUUGCAGCUUAACUGUAAAAUUGCCUACGAAACUACUUGGCUAGAGUAUCGGAGAGGAUAGCGGAAUUCCAGGUGUAGCAGUGAAAUGCGUAGAUAUCUGGAGUAACACCAAUGGCGAAGGCAGCUAUCUGGACGAUUACUGACGCUCAGGCACGAAAGCAUGGGGAGCGA
rnacentral:rRNA from 1 species